UUCACUUAAACUAGCUCAUCUCCUUACCCAAUACAAGAAAAAAAAACCAUACUUGACCCAAAUAACCCUCUGACCCGCCCCAUUUUUCCCACCUACAAUUCUAACCUAGACCCUUAAGAUCAGUUGUUUCUCUUGGAUUUUUUGGACGGAACCAAGAUACAAAAAAACCCUAAGGUAUCAUCUUCUUCUUGGCCAUUUUUGAAGGUUGAAGCAAUGGGAAAUAAACCAAAUGGGAGGCCAAUCCCCAUCGUCACCCGCCUCUAACCAAAGACUGAACUUCUAAUGCUUGAACACCUAUCGGUAGCCAUUUUUAGGAUCUUCAACGAAAACAGCCGUGGCUGUUCACCCCAGCUCCCCGCCAUCACCGACCAGCCCGAACCAACAACAUCACGCCAUCCACGAGACGACAUCAUCCCUUCUCCAAAUAACCAGCGACCACCGGAUACUAUUUUCAGUCCAAACGAGAGCAGCAACAGUGAAAAGUUUCUUUUAUUUUCUUCUCGUUCUUUGGUUGUCAUCGAAAAGCAGUGGCAUUUCAGUUAAGUUCGAGUUCCGUAAAAGCCUGUUCACAGGUCUUUAGCUCCGUCCAUUGGGUUAGUUCAGUUCCGUUCGAGAUCACCGGUCGUGGUUCCUACGUUGUUGAUUUCAUUCCGGUUAGAUCUCUGUCGCAAAACUGGCUGCAUCGGCGAGAAAGGUAAUAUUAAACUUUGUACAAUUUUAGUCUACUACUUGUACUUAUCCAUGACAUGUGUAUAUCAAUUGAUUGUUGCAUAAUAUUUAUAUAUGACCAUGUGUUCAUGUUUGUGUAUGCUUGGCUCGGACUGUUUUUGCUUCACUAGUUUAAUUAGUGAAAAUUUUGAAGUGAUGCUGCUCUUUGUCAUACCUACUGGUUGUCUUCAUAUUUCAUUAAUCUUUAAAAUUAUUGAUAAAUUUUGGUGGGUUUGAAUCCAGUUUGGUUGAGUUUCCGGUUCCGUCCUUAAUUCGUUAUAUCUCGAGUUCAAAGUAGUAAAACAAUCAAUUGUCCAACUGUGUUAAGGUCCAAUCCUUUCAUCCUCUAUUCAUUUUAUUCAAGCUAAAUGUUAAUUGUUUGUUUGGUAUUGCGCCGUUGUUUGCGUAAUUGCUUUCCAUAGUUUUGACUUUGUUCUCUUAGCUAUCUGAUCGUAUAUAUUUACCCGAAUUGAUUAUAGCUGAACAUGAUUAUGUCAUACUAUAGAAAUUGGUUUGUUAUUCUUCAACUAAAUUAUGUCAAGUUAGAUAAAAGGGGCCCGGAUGUGCAUUUCAUGUGACCUGACUCCAAUUUCGAACAAGGUUAAAUAAUGCGUGUUGUGAACCACGGUGGCUUGCGAUAUGUUUUAAAUAACUUUGAAUUAAUUCCUCAAAUAAAUAAAAGCGGUUUUCAAAAGCUAAAAAAUGCACAUAGGGUCAAAAAUAAUUUUUUAAAAUUAGAUACUUAGGCCAAUUAUAAUAGUUGAGAGACCGUGCUAGAACCACGAAACCCGGGAAUGCCUAACACCUUCUCCCGGGUUAACAAAAUUCCUUACCCGAAUUUCUGCUCGCGGACUGUAACACAGAGUCAAUCUUUUCCUUGAUUCAGAAUUCGAAUCGGUGACUUGGGACACCAUAAAUCUCCCAAGUGAUGACUCUGAAUCUUUAAUAUAAAUAAUCCUAUUUCGAUUGUCCUUCAAUUGGAAAAACUUCCUUUUAUGCUCUUCCGGGGGUGUAGUGAAAAAGGAGGUGUGACAAAAGUAAGAAUACACGGAAGGCACAAGGCAUUCUAUAAUGAAGCAAUAAAAUCCAUUAAAAGCAGUAAACCAGUGAAAUCCAAUAAAAUCCUUUCUAAAAAUAAACAAGUAAUUAACAGACAAUUAAUGUAAGUUAAACUAACAGAAGUUCGCCCCCUUGGGAACAAUAUCAAUAAAUUCGCCCCUCGGGCAAAACUCAUAUCAUUUCCAGCUCCCCAGGCUCAAUCUCACAUCACAAUGGGUACCCACGCUCACUGGAGGUGUGCAGACUCUUGGAGGGUCCCCAUACAGCCCAAGUGCAAUAACAAGUCAUCUCGUGGCAUCAAAACUAGGCCAUCGGCAUUAUAUCAAUCAAGCCACCUCGUGGCGUACAUAUCUCAGGCCCUCGGAUUCAAGUCAGUAUCAGUGUUUCCUCACAACAUAGGCCCUCGCUCUCACUCAGUCAAAAAUAUUCACAAGCCCCUUGGGCAAUAGUAAAACAAUAUUUGUCAACCCAAACAUCAUUUAAAAUAUCAUUUAAGUAUUAAAAUUGAGUAAACUUGGCUGAGUAUGAAAACAACGGAAAAUAACAUGACUGAGUUUAAGUAAUAAGUCAAAACAGUGAGUAAAAUAUCAAUGAAAAGCCCCGAAGGAUUCAAAUAGUUGGCACUAGUUCCAAAUAUGACAUUCAACCCAGAUAAUGAUGAUAACAAAUAGUUUUAAAUCAAAUACGUGGUAAAAUCAUCAAUCAGGACGGACCAAAUCACAAUCCCUAAUAGUGUGCGACCCCACACUCGUCAUCAAGCGUGUGCCUCACCUCAACAUAGCACUACGAUGUGCAAUCCGGGGUUUCAAAUCCUUAGAACAUCAUUUACAAUCAUUACUCACCUCGAACCAGCUAAUUCUCUAGCUCGCGACGCCUUUGCCUCUCGAAACGGCCUCCGCGCACGUCGAAUCUAUCCAAAAUUAGAACGAAGCCCAAGCAAAAAUAAUCAAUAACGGGCAUAAAUCCCGAAAUUACCAAAACCCUGCUCCCGGGCCCACGUCUCAAAAUUAAACAAUUUUUACACCAAUAGAUUCCUUAUCUUCCCAUAAGUUCAUACAUAUCAAAAGUUCUCAAAUCCGACCCCUAAUGGUCCUUCGAAUCCCAAAAUCAAAGUCCAAAGUUCCAAGCCCUAGCUCUUCGGUUUUUAGCUUAAAUUUCAAUGAAUUUCUAAGUAGAAUUCACAUAAUUAUCGAGUUUUAAGUCAGAAAAUCUUACCUCUCAAUGAUUUCCAUUGAAUCCCUCUUCAAUCUCCUUUAAAAAUCUCCCAAAAUGACAAACUAUGGAGGAAAUGAACCCCAAAAUCGCGGACAAGACAAGUUAAAAACAUUUUGCCCAGGCAUGAAUUUUCUUCUUCACGAACGCGGUCAAACCCUCGCAUUUGCGAAGAACAAACUUACUUUGACCAAUUUUUCCUCUGUGCGAAUGCAUCGUGAGCAUAGCGAACGGGAUGGUUCCUCAAAUGGUUCCUCAACCUUACCCUCUGCGAACGCGUCGCAUACAUCGAGAACGCGAUGAGUAACUUGGCCCCAAACCAACUGAUAAAAGACCAUACGCAAACACGGCUUACCUCCUGCGAAUGCGAUGCCUCAAAUCACAAACCUUCACGAACGCGCCCUAGCCUCUCGCGAAUGUGAAGUUUACAAAUCCUGGACCUUCACGAAUGCGUGAGUACCCUUCGCGAAUGCGAAGGACAAACAUGACGCCUACCUUCCUAACCAUUCGCGAACGCGAAGACCAAAAUUUCUGCAACUGCUGGAACUCAAAAUCUACAACUUCCUUAAUUUAAAAAUGAUCUGAUUGACCAUCCGAAACUCACCCGAGGCCCCCAAGGACCUCAACCAAAAGCACCAACACAUUCCAAAACCUUAUUCAAACUUGUUCCAACUAUCAAAAAACCUCAAACAAUAUCAAAUCACCCAAAACACAUCGGAUUCAAGCCUAAGUUUUCUAAAACCUUCCGCAAUAUGCAUUUGAUUAAAAACCCAACCAAAUCACGUCUGAAUGAACUGAAAUUUUGCAUACACAUCCCAAAUGACAUAAAGAAGUUGCUGCAACUCUUAAAAUUCUAUUCUAACCCCAAAAUCAAAAUAUUGUUAUCAACCGGAAAUCGCCAAAAUAUCAACUUCGCCAAUUCAAGCCUAAAUCUACGCCGGACCUCCAAACCUAUUCUGAUCAUACUCAUAAGUCACAAAUCACCUCCGGAAGCUAACCGAACCAUCAGAACUUACAUCCGAGCCCUCUAACAAAUAAGUCAACAUCCGGUUGACUUUUCUAACUUAAACAUUCUUCAAAGAGACUAAGUGUCUCAAACUUCACCAAAAUCAUUCUGGAAUCAAACCAACCAACCCGAUACCACAAAAUACAGAUAACAAAGCACAAAGAAGAAGAUUGGGGGAUACAGAGCGGUAAAUCAUGAGGUGACUGGCCUGGUCGUCACAAUACAUAAAUGGUAAUUGGGUGUAUUAAAUAUAAUUAUAGUAAAACUUGAGUAGGAAGGAUAAUAUAAUUUCAUAAAGUGUAUAUGAAUGUAAAAAUUCCUUCCUUUUUAUUCUUCUUUUUCCAUAUAUCUUUCUGUUGGGAGAAGAGAAGAAAGAGAGAGGAUGUUCUGAAAAUAUCUUUUUCUUUUUUGGUGAAAAGAUGAUUUGUUUUCCUUUUUUUCUUUUACAUAUUAUACCGUUAUAAUUAAACUGGACUGCCUUUAACUUUUUAAAUAUCGCAGACUUAUAAAAGUUGCAUUCACAUAGAUUUAUAGAUAUAUUCUUUUAAAUUUAUUCUCCCUAAACUGCUUUGUCCAUUGUCACAUCUCCUUUUUUACACCCCGAGGGUGUAUAGGAGUUUUUUUAAUUUAAGUGAUAUUAUUCGAAAUGAGAUUAUUUAUUAUUUAUUUAGAGUCGCCAGUUGGGAUAAUUAUUUUGGUAUCCCAAGUCAUCGGUUUAUUUUUAAUCCCAAAUCAACAAAAAAUCGACUUUAUUUUAAAAAGUCUGCGAAUCAGAAAUUCUAGAUAAGAAAUUUUUUAACCCGGGAAAAGGUAUAAGGCAUUUUCAGGUUCCGUGUUUGUAGCACAGUCGCUUGAACUAUUAAUAAUUGGCCUAUUAUCUGAUUUACUACAUGUUUAAAACCUAUUGUGCCUUUUUAGCUUUAUACCCACUUUUAAUUGUUUUUGCUUUUAGGAAAAUUCAAUGCUAUUUAAAACACGUCUUAAACCAAGUUACAUGAAAUGCACAUGUGGUUCGCGAAAUGCUUUAUUUAAUAUUGUUGAAGAUUGAAAUUGUGUCACAUGAAAUGUCAUCCGGAUUUUAGUAAUUAAAAAUCACAACUACGUCACAGGAACCAUAUUCGUAGCUAUGAUGAAUUAUUUAAAUAACGCGCCUAAAGCAACUAUGUAGAUUUAAUUCUUAAUAGCAAUAUUUGUGAGGGCCAAUGAUUUAGGCACGCUUUCAAACCUUUUUCUAUAAGUGUUAGUUCUUAAUUAAAUCUUGCAAGGGCCAUGAAUUAUAAAUUUUGUUUGGCAUAGCCAACCUCACUUAUUUUAACAAAGGGGAGUUGCGUUUUUAUUUAAGUAAGGCUAAUAAUCCUAAUUGUAGUUCAAGAUAAGAAUUUUUUAACUUAAGGCUAGGCUUUUGAAUUAUUGCGGAACAGUUGUUUUGGGCCAGGACGUUCAGAAUUGGAUUGAAUCCAGAAAUACUCAGCUUCGAAAAGCUGGAUUUGGGGUCCAAAUUUGGGCCCACUAGAACGAGUAUUCCAAGGCUCUUGUCCCUAUUGGAAUUUGUUUGCCCACAUUGGGCUUCAGGCGGGUCCAGUUGUCAAGUUCUACCGGCUGGGCCUAUCCACCUUUGCAUUUUAAGCCCAAAUUAAAUAAACUAACACGACUUGUAAGACAUGCAUUUAUGAUGAAUUUGUAAUAGAAGAAUUUUUAAACUCAAGAUCAGAUUACCAGAUGUAAUGCCCAGGCUUAGUCGCCUGGGCCCAGACUUGUUUAGCUCGUACCCAGAUUUUGGCCCUGUUGCAAGUCUGUCCCAAUUACAUAUUGGACUAUAUUGAAAAAAUUCAUAUGCCAUGGACUUGAAACUACGAAUAAAAAAUAGUCAAAACUUAAACUUAAUAUAUUCCAGUAGUCUGUUUACUUAAUAAAAGUCCAUUUACAAUACUGAAAGUUCAUGAAUUAUACAAGGAGAAUUUCUAACUUGACAAUCCAUCAUUCUAACGGUCCAUUAUAGCUUACAUCUAAAAGAAAGAAAAAGAAAACUUUAAAAGGAAAUAAAAGGAAAUUUUCCUCUAGCUUCAAGUUCCUACCAUCAAAUUCUUCAAACCCACGUACAAGCUUUUAAGAAAUCAGCUACAGAGCUGCUUCUCACAAGUUGAUUUUCAAACUCCAACCCUGAAAUUUUUUACUGCCAAACUAGUUUUGUUUCCACUUAGAAUUUCAUGGAUCCGACCAUGUGAAAAGGUCAGACUCACAAAAUAUCUUUAGAUACACUAAUCUACUACAUUAUCUAACCAAAACUCAAAUAACCGAUGCAGAAAAAGCUGAGAUUCGUGGGUUUAAUCAUGUUAAGGGUCAAACCCAUGAAUCAAUAAGGGCUUCAAACCCAAAAUCAUGGUAUACUGCCUUAGCGCAAUACCUUAAUGGAAUAAAAGGGAAGGGAAAAGGUAUUUUAAUCCAUGAAUCUGACCAUGUACGUAUCAAACUCAAUGAACAAACCAAGUUUCAAAUAUGAGGGGUCUAAACAUACUAUCUAACUAAUGCAAGGAAAAGCAUACAUGCAUACCAGCCAAAAUAAUUGAAUGAUCAAUGCUAAAGUCAUAUAAAGAAACAAAUUAUCAUGAUAUAGAACCAAAUGGACAGAGACUCACAUUUUAGGAGAAAAAGCUUCAAUACUGUUGCAACUUCAGAAUACAAACCAUAGCAAGAAUGGCACAACAUAUAAACAUUGGCAAGCAAAGAAUAGGUUGUAUUCAUCUUAAAUUCCAUUACAAACACUUAAACAUGGAAAGAAUCAUGUGUACCUUGAACAUCAAUAGAAAAAUAACAAACAAGAUGAAAGAAGACUGUUGAAAACUCGAGAAGAAGGGUAGAAACAACAGUGAGCCAACACAGCUACAACCACCAGAUGAAUCUAAGAAUCUGAACCAAGUUUUAACCACCUUCCAAACCGAAUCCCAACUAAACAAACCCCAGAAAAUUCUUUAUUUCAAACCACUUCUAGCUUGUGAACAAAUGAGAAAAGUUUUGAAAAUCUUUCUAAGAUUUCUGAAAUCUGAAAAGGGAACUUUUAUGCAGUAAAGAUGAUGCUCUAGUUCUCUGUUUUUUAGAACUUUUAGGCAGAGAAUAAUGCUAAAUGAAUGUCUUUUUUAGAAUAAAAUAGCCUACAUAUAUAUAGGGGUGUGCAAUCGAUUCAUCGAUUCGAUUUUGACCUUAUCGAUAAUUACUUAUCGAUUAUCGAUUUGUACAUAUGCUUAUCGUUAUCGUUUCAAUAAGGUUUCGAUUUUUUCGGUUUCGAUUUAUCGAUUUUGGGGGCUUAUCGAUUCGGUUAUCGAUUACACCGAUAAGAAAAAUUUGCGGGAUUCAACGGAAAGUAUAUCGUUAUAAGCGCGCCUAACUUAUGAUUUAUCGAUUUUCAAUAAGGCAGAUUAAACCGAUUAGAAUGCACACCCCUAUAGAUUAGUUGUUAUUCAUCAGCCACGUUAUCAAUAUUAUCAUUUUCAGCCACAUUAAACGAAUGAAGAAUAUAACUUACAGUCUUAAAGACAAGCCCAACCUUCAGAGUAGCACAGUGCACACCUCUUGGUUCAAUCUUAAACACUUCUUGCUUCUAUUUUUGAACCUGAAUAACACUGAAGAUAACUAGUGUUAGGAAAGAGACGGUUUAUGGAUGGUUGUUCAAUUGCCUGUAAUGAAUGCACAUUCUCAUGGUGCCAUCCUUCUUCUUCAAAAAUAGAACUGAUGCAUACCAAGGUGACAUACUAGGCCAUUAUACCUUUGAUUAAUUUCAUGAAGUAAAUGUUUCAACUUGCGUAUUUUUCUGAGGCAUAUGAACAUAUGAUAAAAUAAAAGGAUACAUGGGAACUCAAAAAUAUAGAAACCUCUAUUAUUUCUAUAAAUAGAGUCAUUUAUGAAAGUUGUAUAUUACUCAUUUCACUUGUAUCAUAUGUAUCAUGCCAAAAAAAAGAGAAAGAAAUAGUUAUAAUAUACCUAAACCGAUUCAGUCAAUCGGUGAUCAAGAGACUUACAUAGAGAAAGAAUUUAUCCAUAGCAGCACAUGAAUUACCGAAUGGAGCAGAUUUCCAUUAAGGUAAAUGGAACGUCAACUUUUUGGCGUGAAAAAUACUACAUGUAAUAGUUUUAGGGAACUCAACUUCUAUAUCCCCCUAUUCUAUAGAGAAUGACACUAUACCAUAACACAAGGCUAUUUGAUGAGUUAAAUAUUUUUCUGCUUAAACCAAGAAUGAUAUAUAUAUACGUGGGCAAAAUCAUCAACGUAUAGCAGCUGAUCAGGUGGUGAUGUGUAUAUAACAACGUAAUCUUUUCCCAUAUCUCAUAUACAUAUAUCCGCGUAUAUAACGCCGUCUAAGUCAUGAAUAAAUGCGCAUGUAAAUGAAAGACAUGCAUGAAAAAUAUGUUAAUAAAACCUCCCUGAACGUCACACGGCCAUUAUACCUUUGAUUAAUUUCAUGAAGUAAAUGUUUUCAAACUUGCGUAUUUUUCUGAGGCACAUGAACAUAUGAUAAAAUAAAAGGAUACAUGGGUAUUAAAAAAUAUAGAAACCUCUAUUAUUUCUAUAAAAAGAGUCAUUUAUGAAAAUUGUGCAUUCCUCAUUUCACUUGUAACAUAUGGAUCAUGCCAAAAGAAAGAAAGAAAUAGUCAUAACAUAUCAAGAGACUUACAUAGAGAAAGAAUUUAUCCAUGCAGCACAUGAAUUACCAAAUGGAGCAGAUUUCCAUUAAGUAAAAGGAACGUCAACUUUUUGGGGUGAAAAAUAAAUACAUGUAAUAGUUUUAGGAACUCAACUUCUAUAUCCCCCUAUUCUAUAGAGAAUGACACUAUACCAUAACACAAGGCUAUUUGAUGAGUUAAAUGUUUUUUCUGCUUAAACCAAGAAUAUAUAUAUAUAUAUAAUAGACACAACAAAAGAACUUUGUGAUUAUAGGAUAAUUUUAUGAAAUUUUGAAAUACAUGAGUUAUCCAAAUUCCCAAUAAAAAUCGGCUGCGAUGACCCUCCGUAUUUAUACCUAUAUCUUUCUGUCAGAGAGUUAGUGUAGCCAGAAAUGUACAAAAAGAAUCCCAGAUGGAAAAGCCCUUCAUAGCUCCAGCAGUUUAAGGGAAGUUCGCUAGAAAUUCAAAAAGGAGAUCACAGUGCAAGCAUUGUGUGCAAUAUAUAAUCACUAGGAUAUUGGCAAAUCUACUCGGAAUACAGAAACCUCCAUAAACCGUCUCUUCACUAGUGUUAGGAAAGACUCAUAUGCGAAGCAGCGAAGGAAUAGGGUAGUAAUAGUAUUAUAAAAGAAGGUUAUAUUUGUCUUUUUAAUAUAUCUUAUCGAUUUAUCGAUAAAUCUAUAAACUGAAUGGCCAAAACCGAAAUCGAAUCGAUAAACCGAAAAAUUUUCGAAAUCGAAAUCGAUUCGAUAAACUGAUAAACCGAUAACAAAUAAUCGAUUCGAUUUAUAGAUAAACCGAUUCGAAUGCACACCCCUACAUAUAUAGGCUGCCUAGGGAAGGUAUAUUUUGGGGAAUAUUCCUUAUCCUAGAAUAAAAAUAGUAUUGUCCUUUUACAGCCCUUGGUACAGUUGUUCUAUAUUUUGGCAUCUUUCUAUAACAGCUAGGAUAGCUGUACAUUUUCCAGGAAGCUUUUGAUUUUUAGCCUAAGUGAAAGUCCAUUUUUACCCUUUAAACUACUGCCUAUUUCAAUUCUAUCCUAAACUUUUCUAUUUCAAUCAAGCCCCUACAAGUCUCUAAUGAUUUACAAAUUAUGGCAAACAGAGACAAAGCAAAAAGAAUCAGAAUCCAAAUCAAAAUCAAAAUGACAAAUAAAAAUGAGAUAAUGCAAUUUAAACCUAGAGUAUCAAGCUUUGAUUAUCUAGACUAAUCCGAAACUUAAACUAAACUUAGCAUGAAAUAGAUUCAUAAUGAAAUUAUUGAGAACCUAUUAAAAUCUCAUAAAAGGGAAAGAUGUUAAGCUUAUAAGUGAACAUGUUUAGAUGAUUCAAUUAGCAUGGACAAACAAAACAAGCAAUCAACACGGAAAGAAAAAAAACAAAUGCUGCAAUUUAUCCUAAAUCAUGCAAGCUAAACAGAAAAGAGAGAUGUUUAUGAAAGAAGAAACGAGAUAAACAAAAGAGAAACGGAAAAGAAAUUACCAAAGCUUGCUUCGAAUUGGACCAGUCAUGAACUCGGAUAAAUUUCGGUAGGGUAAAAUGAAAUUUAGACUAUCAUCAAUCGAUUUCUCUCAUCAAGAGCAAUCGAUUAAUGAAGGUCUUGGGUUAAAAUGACCCGAAAUUAAACAAAAAUUGUAGGCGGAAUAAAUUAUGGUUUUGAUCUUAGAUCCGAGAUUUGAGAAUUCCUAGGCUUGUUUGAAGGGAAUGGUUAUGGGAUAUGGAAAGAGGAAGAGAGGGUGAUUGUCUGGUGUUAAUUUGGUGUAUUUUAGAGCAAUUAGGGUUUUUUACCUUGAAUCGAAUUCCUGGCGGCGAUUUGAAAGAAACGGAUUUGAGAUUUAGCAUUAGGAGGAAUGGGGGUUUCAGGGUGUAAAUAUAGGGGAGAUUGGUGGUGGUCUGAUGCCGUGAGGUGAUUUAAUUUUCGGCCGGCGGACUACAGCGGAGAAGGACGGAGCCGGAAAGGUAUCUUAGGGCGGAUAGGGUUCGUAGAUUGAGAGAGAUGAUAGACUAAAUGAGGGGGUAAUGGGUUCGGGGGUAUGAAUUUGGGGGAGGUUGGUGGUGGUCCGCCGCCUUGAGGCGAUUUCCGGUCGGCGGACCGUGGCAGAGGAAGGCAGAGUUGGCGAGGUAUUUUAGGGCGGCUACGAUUCGAAAGUUGAGAGAGAUGAAAAAUUGAAUAGGGGGUAAGGGGGUUAGGGGUCUUGUUCGGACAGUUAAAUAUU
rnacentral:lncRNA from 1 species